AUAGACAUCCAGUAAACAUGUUGCUGUACUGGACUUGGUCAGUUGAAAAAAAAAUGAUUUUGCUGUAGAGAAUGUCAUUUUAUUUUGGUAUUUCCGUUGAAACGUAAAGCUAUGAUAACACAUAUAUUGUUCUAUGUUAAGAAUUUGAGAAAAUAAAGCUAAAAUUUACUUUUACUCAUAGCCAUCUGGUGUAUUAUUACCGUAUUGACCUAAAUAUGUUUUUUUCUAUUAUAAAUAAUGUGAAAAGGUUGGUUCGCUUUAUAACCAUUAACACAUGCUGAUAGCUGUCUGGGGUCAUUACACAAGCGCAACGGCAGUGGGCCCCAACGGUUCGUAUAGCCGGUGUGUGUGUGUGUGUGUGUGUGUGUGUGUAAAAUAGAACUUAAGGAGAUAAAAUAGGACUCAAAUUAGAAGAUAAAGUUAAAACUGUUAUUUAAAUUCGAUUAACAGUAAUAAAAAAACUAGGUUGAAAAAAUUAUUUCAACCUUUUUAUAUAAUCUUCUAUUUGCCUAAAACAGGUUUAAAAUGAAAAGGUAUUGAUGUCAAAAACCUUAAAAGAAACAGGAACUGUUAAUUUUGUGUUGUAUUUUGUCAAUUGUAUUUUGUCUGUUGCAUUAAUUUCUGUCAAAAAAUAAUAUGCUGGCAGUUAAACUUAACUUAUCUGUCUGUGUUCUUUAGUACACGUCAUGGUCAAUUCUGCUCCUGCAGCCAGACCUAGCACUGGUCCAGGUCUCUAGUUAUUCUACUUACUGUAGCUGCCUCCUAAUUGUACUCCACUCACACCAAGCAAUAGCUUCUAAUGACCCAGGACAGUGACGGGUGGUUCAUUGAUUUGCAUCUAACUUAGAAUGCACCUGGGAGCAUGGGCCUCCAUGUCCUUAACAACAACAGUGCACCAACUGCAGGUUGUUCAAGUGCAAGCCACCAUAAUUGACAAAGACUCCUGGAUAGGUGUUGAAACAUCUUAACAAAGAACUGAGCGAAAGUCCAGUGUCCUGUUUGCUGUUGCGAUGACCCGGAUAACUGAGAAUUUGCACAGACAUGCUCCCUGGAAACCGUUUUGCCUUGAUCUCUUUUACACCACUUCCUCUUCAAUGCUUUCAUGUGUGUUUAAACAUUUGAUGGAACACUUUCCAUGGGCCAUCACAAUAAAAAAAGAAAAUCUGUAUGGAAUCUCUUGAGAGGAUAGGUACAAAAAUAAACUAAUUGAAGGCAAAUUGCAAUUAUUUCAGUGCUGAUUAUUAUUGUUCUGAUUGUGAUGCUUGUCAUGUGAGCCAAUUUGCUUUUUUCCUCCUUUCUUCUGCUUUGAAAGCAAGACUUUUUUCUUGCUAAUUGCCUUGGCAUCAGUCAGGCAAAACCUCGCCAAUAAAGCACCUUGAAAUUGAAAAAGUGAAUUGGAACUGAAUGCAGGGAGGAGAUUUUCUCUCUCUGUUUCUCCCUCUUUCUACAGCUGGUAAAGCAGGAUUAGGCUUGGCAGAGAAAGGCAUAAAGAGGAGCACAUGUGUGUUUGUGCUUGGAUUUGUGUCUUUGUGAGUGUGGGAUGCGUUUGUGCAGCAAAGCUGUCCGGGAGUCAGGGCAGGAAGGUUUUUAAAGGACUCAAUUAGUUAGGCCCAGACACAAAUCCAGAAUCUUCCCCAUUCCAGGUUUUACUGGGGAUAUGGUCGUGGGGGACAGAAAAUCUCUCUACCCGUACACAAAACAGCUCAAAGUCUUUUUACUGUUGAGUUUAUCCACAAGAAUCCAUGCACACAGAGAGCAUGGGGGCGCUGAUCACAGAAAGAAUCCCAUGAUUAGCUGCUGCUGUGGGUUUUCUGUUUUGCUUCGGCUGAAAGGCGAUUUAGUCGUGUCAACAGUUUCCUCCCUUAUUUGAAUUACAUUUGCUGAAAGAACUGUUUAAUGUAUUUAUUGUACACAUGGUGAACAAAAUGAUCAGUAAGAGGAGUUAUUUUAAAAAAUAAUGAAAAAUAUUGCCAUUGACGUAGUUAAGAAUAUAAAUUAGUCAUACUUUUUUUCUUUUAUCUUCGGAAAGCUAGUUUACUAUUUGCUGACGAAAGUAUGUAUUCAUUAACAAAGGUGUUGCAGUGGAUGUAAAGAGAUUAACAGGAAAACAAUCUGAUAGAAGAAGAAAGACAGGUAGUGUAGCUUGCUUAACAGAUUUUGUGUUUAUCAAAGGUAUAAUCGGAGUUGAUCUGUGUAACUUUAACUUUAAGAAGAACAAUUAAGUGCUGCUGCAAUAUUAUAUUCCGUAUAACGCUAACAUGGUCACUAAGCAAAUCAGAAAAUACUGACAAGGCAUAACUCUACCCUGUUAUUACAUAAUUACAGAAAGAUGAGCAGAUUUGCUGAAAUGGGUAAUGUUAUUUAAGACAAAAUCAACAAUUCUUGAAUUUCAAAAUUCACUUGGAAAGGUUAGUCUUAAAAGUGUUAGUAUUUGACUAUGUCAAGAUGUAUAGUAUGAUGGCCCCAUGUACCAUCUUGCUAGAGUGUUCAUAUGCUUUUAGAUCAUAUUUUAAAAUACACUAUCAAUGGUAAAAAGAAAAGUAUGUAUUAUGUGUUAAAGAUGAAAACCACAUACACACAUAUGUAUCUUCAUAUAUCAACUGCUAAUCUGGGAAUUUAUUUGCAAAGUUAUCCGAGAGUUGCCAUAUGGUCAGAUAAUUAUUAGCCAGAUUAAUCAAAAUGUAUGAUUAGUACGAACGUACGAAGCAGGUGAAUCUUGAUGCACACACAUAGAAAAGAACAUAGCAUAAGCUUAGUAUAACAUUGCAUGAAAUUAGUUAAUGUUAUUAUUGAGCUAAAGCUGUGAUAAAUGUUAGGGUACAUGCAUUGUGAAGUACAUGCAUUGUAUGUGAGCGCUGCACUGUUCAUGCAAUACAAUAUUUCAUCAGUCCAUCUAUUGUUUGUGCCAGUUUAUUUUUGCAGGUGCCUAUAUGUUGCAAUCAUUUGGCGAGAGGCAGGGUAAACCUUGGACAGGUCAAUGUUUCAUCACAGCAAAAAAAAAAAAAAAAAACAGAGCUCCACAGGACAAACAACCGUAAACUUGCAACAUGCAAUUUGUAGAAACCAAAUAAUAUAAAAUAUGAGUUAUAGAAAGAAGGUGGAGUAUAUGGAGAGAACCCAUGCAAGCAGAGUGGAACAUGCAAACUCCAAGCACAAAGAUGAUUGACUGGAAUUUCAACUUCUGUCAUACUGCUGGUCCUGGUGCAGGCCUGGUCUGUCUCUCUCUGCAGGGUGUGACGGGCAGGUGUUUCGCAUCCCAGCUAAUUAGGUGCCUUCUUAAGGAGCUGAGACCAGGAGCAGGGCAUCAGUUCUUUCUCGCUACCAGCGUGGUACUUGACCAAAUUGUCUUUUGACCCAAAAGCUUUCCAAGCCAGAUCUAAUUCUGUGUUUUGAAUUUUUCCUCCAAGGAACCCCUCAAGCAAACCGAACAUCCAAGCCUGAACUUCCAUCGACUUUCGGAUUCCUCGAACCACCUGUCAGUCACAGCCCUUCUCCAGGAGUUGCCUGCCUGUCCACCCUCCAACGCACUAGCAUCAGAAAAGAGAGAAUCGCAGUAUGCACCAGGACCCAGGACACCACCCUUCCAAAGCCCUAGACGACCCCAAACCCUGCAAGGUUUUGGCAGGUCAGCAUGACAACACCUAUCCAGGAGUCUGUCAGUUCUGGCGGCUCGCAUCUGACCCUCAACAUCCGCAUGUGUGUUUGCCCUGCUGCCCUGGCUGCUCCUCUGGUUCAUGCUGUCAGGAUCCCUCUACAACCAUUCGAUGCCCAGCCCACAUGUCUCCAUCUGGAAGAGAGAAAAAGGAAAUGAAUAUAAACAAGCACUACUCAUCACCACUUUCCAGUCUCAGCCUCUGUGGGUAAACUUACCAGCUUUCCAUAGAACUCCAACAUCCCCCCAGCACUAACCUGUCUCCACCAUCAUUUCCAUCAAAUAUGAACCAGUUCUUAUAUGAUAAACGUGCCUCUCAUCAUCUGUGCUAUCCUGUAUUUAUUCUGGGAAUCCAAAAGCACCAUUUGUUCAUUCACUUGUAUAAAUAAGUUGUUCAUACUCCUAUUUGGUGUCCAUAAUUGUUGCCAGCAUGAGGGUAUCAAACAAAACCAACAUGAAAUCCAUGCAGUUUCAUUUUAAUACUAUA